GACGAACGCUGGCGGCGUGCCUAAUACGUGCAAGUAGAACGCUGAAGAGAGGAGCUUGCUCUUCUUGGAUGAGUUGCGAAUGGGUGAGUAACGCGUAGGUAACCUGCCUUGUAGCGGGGGAUAACUAUUGGAAACGAUAGCUAAUACCGCAUAACAAUGGAUGACUCAUGUCAUUUAUUUGAAAGGGGCAAAUGCUCCACUACAAGAUGGACCUGCGUUGUAUUAGCUAGUAGGUGAGGUAACGGCUCACCUAGGCGACGAUACAUAGCCGACCUGAGAGGGUGAUCGGCCACACUGGGACUGAGACACGGCCCAGACUCCUACGGGAGGCAGCAGUAGGGAAUCUUCGGCAAUGGGGGCAACCCUGACCGAGCAACGCCGCGUGAGUGAAGAAGGUUUUCGGAUCGUAAAGCUCUGUUGUAAGUCAAGAACGAGUGUGAGAGUGGAAAGUUCACACUGUGACGGUAGCUUACCAGAAAGGGACGGCUAACUACGUGCCAGCCGCCGCGGUAA
rnacentral:rRNA from 1 species